CCCCUCAGACAAUGGUCAGUGUAAGAGAUGAUGAAUGUGCUCUUACACUGACCAUUGUCUGAGGGG